GCAGCAAGAUUUCCCGGGGGUGUAUAGGUGUAAUCUCAUGUGGUAACUGUGAGUGAUUUGCGCAACCUCAGAUUGCCACGUGGGGUUUCACGUGUGCACUCACAGCCUUCUCACAUAGUU
rnacentral:precursor_RNA from 12 species